rnacentral:rRNA from 1 species
CCUACGGGAGGCUGCAGUGGGGAAUAUUGGACAAUGGGCGAAAGCCUGAUCCAGCCAUGCCGCGUGUGUGAAGAAGGCCUUCGGGUUGUAAAGCACUUUCAGUGGGGAAGAAAGCCUUGGGGCUAAUACCCUCGAGGAAGGACAUCACCCACAGAAAAAGCACCGGCUAACUCCGUGCCAGCAGCCGCGGUAAUACGGAGGGUGCGAGCGUUAAUCGGAAUUACUGGGCGUAAAGCGCGCGUAGGCGGUCUGAUAAGCCGGUUGUGAAAGCCCCGGGCUCAACCUGGGAACGGCAUCCGGAACUGUCAGGCUAGAGUGCAGGAGAGGAAGGUAGAAUUCCCGGUGUAGCGGUGAAAUGCGUAGAGAUCGGGAGGAAUACCAGUGGCGAAGGCGGCCUUCUGGACUGACACUGACGCUGAGGUGCGAAAGCGUGGGUAGCAAACAGGAUUAGAUACCCCGGUAGUC